GUGAAUCAUCGAAUUUUUGAACGCAAAUUGCGCCUUUUUCGAAAGGCAUGGCUGUUUGAGGGCACCAUUUAACAAAUAAUGUGCAUUUCGUGUGCACACGUUUGUGAGCUUCCCAAAAUUAUGUAUUAUUAUUUUUGAUGGCGCAUAAUAAACAGCGCGAUGCUUGUUUCAGUUCGAGUGUAGUAAAAUGUUUUCUUGCUUGGGUUGUGAAAAGCGUCAUCUCUCAAUGGGUGUGCCGAUUCUACUAACCCUGCCCCAACGCACUUCU
rnacentral:misc_RNA from 1 species